ensembl:lncRNA
GCCCAGGCUUCCACGGGGUCUAGCGGUCUCAAGCCUGCGGCUCUCCCUGGUGGAUUCCCGCAGGAGUGAAUGGCAGCACCGGAAGCCAAGGCCCCUCCCCACCAAGACACCAGCAGCUGAUCCCCACCUUCCCAACCAAAGCCACGAAGCAGAGGCCGAGCCGAGCCAAGGUCAGGGCCUGGGGCCACGGUGGAUUUCCUCCCAUGGGAACGUCCUUAACAUCCGCAGCUCGGGCCUGAGGGUCUGCCACCGGACCCAGCAGCUGCCACAGGUGUCCUGGCUCAGGGCUGGGGCUGUCUGCAACUCCCCUCUCCCCUGAGCCCUCUGAGUGGGGUUCCCCAAGCUCCGAGGGGCUCCCGCCACACCUGGGCUUCCUGGGGGCUCUUUGUAGACAGUGAUUGAUCUCCCAUUGGCUCCAGUUUCGUGGCUGUGUUUCUGCCCCUCCCUCCACACUCCCUGCCUCUCUGCUGAGUAGCUAAUUCACUCUAAGCACGCUCCAGAGGAAGGCUCCAGCCUCGCAGUGGAACUGCAGCCAUGCAUGAGAAUGAUCCGGCACCCAGGUCUGCCUCCACGUCCCGCUGAUGGCCCAGAGACCGUGCGGCGGGAAGGCUGGCAGCGAGCUGAGGGUUGGAACUCUGGCUGCGCCCCUGCUGCCAGGGGACCUCAGGCAAGUCAUCUUUUUCUCUGAGCCUUAGUUUCCUCAGCUGUGGGGACGGUUCCAGCCCUGAGUCACUGGGCUGUUGUGAGGAUGGAGAUGAGGUCGUGCAGGCUCCUGGGUCCAGCAGUCAUUCUUCUGCACUCUCAGGGGAGCCCUUGCCAGCAUCUGAGGGUCACGGUUCAGUGGCUUCAGGGUCCGGACAGGGCCGGAGGCCAGGCCCAAUAUGGUGCAGCUAGGGGAGAGGGCAGGCCCUGGGGGCCGUGGGCCAUCGGCUCACAGCCACAUCAGGGGCCAGGAAUCCCACUCAGGGCUCAGCCCUAGGCUCCCCCCAGCACCCCCUCCCAAUCCAGAGGACACUUCCAGCCCUGAGCAGUGGGCUCUGGGCAAGCGACUGGAGAGGGAGUGCAUCUCGGCUCUUUGUGAGGAAUUAUGUCCUGACAGGUCACUGGCACAGAAAAGCCCUUUGUCCCAGCCAGCUGGCUGCCUAAUGAUGUCCAGCCUGCACCCUUCCAAGGCCACCUCUGAGUCCAGAAAGGAUGGAGCUGGCUCCUGCCUGGGAGGCACAAGGGCCACAGUUUCGCUGGGGUCGGGGUGGGGAGGGUGGGUGAAGGCUCCGAACACCUCUGCACGUUGCCCCGGAGCUGCGGACGGAGCUCAGGUAGCCGCCAAGACUUGCUGUAGAUCCGGUGACCCCUCCAAGGAGAGUGCUGAGUCCUGGAAAAUUCUCUUCCUCCUCCUCCACCUCCCUGUCACCUUACCCUCUCCUGUGUUCCCCAACCAGGACCCCAGUAAAGAGGAGACCCCUGCCGUUGUGGAUGUGGCUUUCCCCAGUGCCCACGAGACCCCUGGGGCCUGGCCCCUCUGGGCCCAUAGAAGCUCCCAUGAGAUUCUGAUGCAUGGGAGCCCAGAGCCAGGACUGGGUGAAGGUGCCUUUGGGAGGAGGCAGAGAAGUGUAUCGAUUGGGACCCAGAUGGACAGGUCCCUGUGAGCCGGCACAGGUCCUUGGUGGGUGAGUGCCAGGUUGCCCUCACGGGGACUUUGCACUCUGAGCAGGAGGGACAGCUCAGGUCCCGCCCGCCUUGGGUUUCUGGGCAUAGCUUUGGAGGGCAGGGGUCGUUUGCAGCACGGAGCCCUUGUCAGCUUCCAGCGUGUUCUAACAUUUGUCAUACCAGAUGGAUUGUCGCCAGCGUCUGGGGUGACAUUAUUAUUCUGUUACUCCCAUGAUGACAGAGCCAAGGGCUGGGGAGAGGGACCCAGUUCAGCCUGACCAAGCCCAGGGCCCUUCUCCUUCCUCCACCAUCACAGCUUCUUGACACCCCAUUCCCCAAACCCAGGACCCCAAUGCCCAGGGACUCGGGCUGCCCCCCCCCCCAAGCCCCAGGAGAAGAGCCCUGUCCUCCCCAGCCGUGCCAGAGGGUUCUGUCAACUAGCGCUGCUUCCUUAUCAACAAGGACAUGUCUACAAAUAGCUCAUCACGUCUCCAAUCCAGAAGUGCUGUGUCGUUUCAAAAAUGAGCAGAGCCAAUGCAGCCGCCAGCCCAGCCGUGGCUACCUGGGCAAGGCUGCUGGUUCAUGAAUAUUCACGGCUCCGAUGGCUCCGCGAGCCUCCUCACCAUCCGGAAUUAAACCAACGAGCUUCCCCUCACAGGCUGCACUCACUGACUUUCAGCUCCUCUCCAAAUCGUUCUCUUCCUCGCAGCAGAUGGGGAUGUGGGGCGGCCUCGACCCUCCUGUGUGCCUGGGCUGUUGUGGCACCAGCACCUUUGCCCCAGUUCCCCAUCUCUUAGGCGCUUGACACGUGUCUGCCCCGUUCUCAGGAAGGCCUGGACCCCGUCCCAGCCCUGGUGGGGAUAAUUACCCCGAUGUUCGUUUGCAGCGUUUAAUUUGCUUCCUCCGCGCUGGAAGCCCACGUUUGGCGAUGUGUGUGUUAGGAUGGCCACGUGUCCUUCCCCCAUCAGCGACAGGAUCUGGGGAGGCCAGGGAGGCUCCUCAUUACGCUCCCAGCACCAAGCCCAAUCACAGACGUUGCACAUGGAGGCACCAGACCCUGCCUGUGGGGAGAGUGGCUGCCAGCUGGGGCACCCGGACGUCCCUGCGUGCCCUGUGCUGGCACAAGGCAGCUCUUCUGUGCUUCCGUGGUGCCUGCGGUGAGGCUGCCCGGGACGCCCCCUGUAGAUGCUGCCUCCAGGGUCUGCUCCAAGGAAUGGGGAGAACGGGCUUGUGGUGCUGGGGCCUUGUGUGAGGCGGGAUGCUACAGACUGGAAGGGUGGGUGGCCUGGAGCUGCUCUGUCUCCAAGCACUGACCGCAGCCCGCGCCUCUGCGUAGGUCCAGGAGAAGUGUGGCAGGGCUGGGUGCCACCACCUGUGAGCCCCUGAACCUCCCCAGGCUGCCAGAUCUCACUUCAGAGUGGCCCUGGGCUGCGACGGAGGGGCCUGGGCGUGGCCUCAGGUCAGUUCAGGUGAAGACUCUAUUCCUGGCUCAGGAAAGCCACCAGGACAGGUGAGCCCAGCGGCACCUCACGGAGUGAGGCUUUGAGUCCCGUGUGAACAAGGACAGGACACCGGGGCUGCCACAGGUCACAGAGACCCUGCGUCGAUACCUGCGUUUUGAGGUGCGGAGACCAAAGUUGAGACCUGGCCACGAAGCAGGUCUGCAGGGACCUCAGAGCCCGGGGCCACUGUGCUGUCCCCAGUCCCAUUAAACGCCCAGGGCCACUGUGCUGUCCCCAGUCUCAUUAAAUGCAGUAAACGUCUUCUGGGCAUGCCGCCAGCCCCACAGAAAACCAAAGCAAAGCAGACUCACAGCUCCCACAUCCCGGAGCUCAGGUCCAGGAGGGUCUCUGGAAAGGACGGGGCAACUGGAAUACUGUCCUAGUCCCGUCUCGGCCCCAGGGCACCGCAGGGGUCUCUCUUGCAGGUGUGUGGUUGGUUUUAGAAGAUGCUGAGCCCCUCCCUGCGCACUCGUCCCCACCUGCCUGGCCCUGGCACACCUGGCUGCUUCUCAUUCGGGCCUUGAAUGAAAGGCCCCCUUCCCCAGAGUCCUCCCUGACUCCCCUCUCACAGGAAGGGUAUCUCCUGUUCCCCGCGAUGGAGAGUGUUGGUCAACUCUCUCUCCCCAGCCACCUGCGGGGCCCAGGAGGGCUGCACCUGCCUUGGCCAUCCCAGACCCACCACCCAGGGCAGACCCUCCACCCAGGGCAGAGCCUCGGACAUGGUUGAAGGCAGGAAGGGCUGAAGAUGAGGGUGGGUGGUGAGAAAAGGCCUCUGGACGGCAGGGACUUAGACAUGGUUCCAAGUAUGCACGAGGGGAACAGCUGGGGGCCGUGGGCCCCUGCAGGCCUGAUAGAGGAACCCACGGGACUGACUUUUCCUACAGAAAAUCCUGCGCAGGGAGAUCAAAUCCUGGCAUCCCAGAGGAAAGGCCCGUGCCGGCCGUGAGCUGCCCACAGCUGCCUGACCCCAGUCUUCUCCAAUGAAGUGGCUCUGAGAGGUUUUGUGGUCAGUAUCAUUUCUGUGUUUGAUUUUAGCGCCUGGUCUGGACGGCAAGCAGGAAGAGCUCAGAGCUUCCUCCAGUGUCUCGGGGUGCAGCCGGGAGGAGCUGCCUCGCCCCUGCCUCUGCCUCUGGCUCCUUGCCCCACCGCCUGGCUCUCACCUGCAGCCUGAGAGGAGUCCAGGCCUGGGCUCUUGAGUCUCUCUCUGGCCCACGGGAGGGGCACACCCGGGUCCUGUUCAGAGACGCAGGCUGUCGCCCCUGCUCCUGCUGGAACGUGCAACCCAGAGGCCCUACAAGCACCUCAUGCUGCCUCCCUCUUUGUGAUCCCCCAGCCCAGCCCUCAGUUAACUGAGUCCCUGCCUGGUAAACGUGCAGCAACAUGGCCACAGCAGGCUCUGCCCAACAACGGCCACAGCAGGCUGGACACAGCAGGCUCGGUCCAGCCUGGGCGCCUCCCCGGGUUCUGGUGCUCAGGCAGUUUCCUUCACCUACGUAAGCCCCGACUUUCUCAUCCGUAGAGUGGGACAAACGACGCCCAGUGCUCAGCGUGAUAUCAGAAAAGCCCAAGACAGUGGAGGGCUCAGCACAGAAGACCCAUCCAUCCGCAGAAUCGCACCGAGAGCAGCUCCUUCAAGGGAGCCCGGGACGCCCCGGGGAAGCCACGCUUAGUGACUGGCCCCAGCCGAGGGCCGAACGGGCCAGGGGCUCGGCCGGGGGAACCCCAGGGCUGAACGGGCCGGGGGCUCGGCUGGGGAACCCCAGGGCUGAACGGGCCGUGCUGGACUGAGGGACACUGCCGGGGGCUCGGCCAGGGAGAACCCCAGGGCUGAAGGUCAAGGCCACUGCAAGGCCCCGGGCUCAGGGGAGAGUGGGGACACAGGACCCAUCCUCCUCAUCUCAGGCUGGUCCUUUUCCCUCCCAUGUGGGGGCACCAUUGCCAGGCCAAUGCCAGUCACUCUGUGAUGACCAGGUUGGAGAAAAGCUGAGAACCCCAAGUACUGGGCAAAUCCAGAGUCUCGUGUCUUCAAACCAGAGGACGUUAAAAGCUAGGUCAAGAGGUUGGCUUCUUCCACGAGUCCCCACCCUGGGCAUUGCCUGGAAGUGAGGGGCCGAUGGAUUGUCAGGCCACAUACCUGAGGGGAAGGGAGCGGUCGGGGCAAUGCCCUGGGCAGGGCGCUGGCUCGGGAUGGAGGGAGGAGGGUCUCAGAUGGCAGGCUUAGGCAGACAGCUCACUCAUCCCUGCCUCCAGCGCCCUCGGCCCCUCCACAUCAAACUUCCGGUUAAUGAAACUCCUCCACGCUGGGAGGUGGAGGCCGGGGAAACCGCUAAUUAAGGUUGCUGCACUUUGGCUUCCGGCUUAGUUAGCUGCAACACCCCCAGUGCCCACAGGGGUCCUUUUCUGUCUCCCACAGAGAUGCCCAGGAGGCUAAGCCCAGGCAGUCACCAUGGGUGGGUCCUGUGUCUCCUGCGGGCUCCAGAGGCAUGGGCGGCGUUCCACCUCCAGCCGGCCUGAUGGGGCAGAGACACUUCCCCUCAAAGAGAUGCACGGUUUUAAUAGGCUCUCUGUGCCCAAGCUGAGCUGGCUGGAUGCAACCUCUAGGGAGGAGGUGGGCAGGUGGGAGGCAGUCAGGGCCCCCCCUACUCCCUGCGCCCCUGGAGACAGCUCCCAGGCUCCCCCACUCCCUGCGCCCCUAGAGACAGUGCCCAGCCUCUCACCAGAGGUGCCAUCUCAGCAGCACAUGACAAAGGCAUAAGGUUACGGCUUCCCUGGCCCCCAGAAUGCGUCCCAGGGUUGGGCAGGGCUCACCCUCACCAAGGUUUAGGACAUACCUGGUGUCCACUCUGGAGUCAGCUGACCUGGCCCAGCCCCGAGGUCUCUCUUCCACCUGUCUGCUCCAGGACAGUCGCAAGCCGCUGUGUUGGGUGGCGUUUCUAACCUUGUUCUAUCCACAGAACUCGUCUUCAAAAGAAAGUUUACAUGACAGAACUGUUUAGAAGAAGGAAAAAGCAGAGAGGCCUUAGCUGAGGUUUUGGUGGUGCCGAGUCAGAUCCACCGGCCUGAACUCCAUCAGCCCUGCACCCCACCACCCCUGUACCCCACCACCCCUGCACCCCACCAC